CCUACGGGUGGCAGCAGUGGGGAAUAUUGGACAAUGGGGGCAACCCUGAUCCAGCCAUGCCGCAUGUGUGAAGAAGGCCCUCGGGUUGUAAAGCACUUUCAGUGAGGAAGAACGCCUGGUGGUUAAUACCCAUCAGGAAAGACAUCACUCACAGAAGAAGCACCGGCUAACUCCGUGCCAGCAGCCGCGGUAAUACGGAGGGUGCGAGCGUUAAUCGGAAUUACUGGGCGUAAAGCGCGCGUAGGUGGCUUGAUAAGCCGGUUGUGAAAGCCCCGGGCUCAACCUGGGAACGGCAUCCGGAACUGUCAAGCUAGAGUGCAGGAGAGGAAGGUAGAAUUCCCGGUGUAGCGGUGAAAUGCGUAGAGAUCGGGAGGAAUACCAGUGGCGAAGGCGGCCUUCUGGACUGACACUGACACUGAGGUGCGAAAGCGUGGGUAGCAAACAGGAUUAGAUACCCUUGUAGUC
rnacentral:rRNA from 1 species